AGCGAACGCUGGCGGCAGGCCUAACACAUGCAAGUCGAACGAACCUUUCGGGGUUAGUGGCGGACGGGUGAGUAACACGUGGGAACGUGCCUUUAGGUUCGGAAUAACUCAGGGAAACUUGUACUAAUACCGAAUGUGCCCUUCGGGGGAAAGAUUAAUCGCCUUUAGAGCGGCCCGCGUCUGAUUAGCUAGUUGGUUGAGGUAAUGGCUCACCAAGGCGACGAUCAGUAGCUGGUCUGAGAGGAUGAUCAGCCACAUUGGGACUGAGACACGGCCCAAACUCCUACGGGAGGCAGCAGUGGGGAAUCUUGCGCAAUGGGCGAAAGCCUGACGCAGCCAUGCCGCGUGAAUGAUGAAGGUCUUAGGAUUGUAAAAUUCUUUCACCGGGGACGAUAAUGACGGUACCCGGAGAAGAAGCCCCGGCUAACUUCGUG
rnacentral:rRNA from 1 species